rnacentral:rRNA from 1 species
UACGGAGGGAGCUAGCGUUGUUCGGAAUUACUGGGCGUAAAGCGCGCGUAGGCGGCUUUGUAAGUUAGAGGUGAAAGCCCGGGGCUCAACCCCGGAACUGCCUUUAAGACUGCAUCGCUUGAAUCCGGGAGAGGUGAGUGGAAUUCCGAGUGUAGAGGUGAAAUUCGUAGAUAUUCGGAAGAACACCAGUGGCGAAGGCGGCUCACUGGACCGGUAUUGACGCUGAGGCGCGAAAGCCAGGUGAGCAAACGGG